UCAUCUUAGUUCUGAAACAUGUUACAUUUUUUUUCAAGUUCAAGUGAGCAAUAUUGUCGUACUGACCUUCCUUUAUCAUCCUAUUCAAGCUUACACAUAAUCUUUUGCACAGCUCUGGAAAAGGUUUAGGGGCAGUGAUAGCCCCCCAGCAUUUUUGGGUUCCAGCAGAGAUUACAAUGUUGACAUGAUUCCAAAGGUAUCUUUUCUGCUGUUCUUAUUCCCACAAUGUUGUCCCAAAAUGGAAGUUCAUUGCUUUUGUCUCAACUGAAGCUGAGACUGACCAUCCAGAUAUAGAACUAAAGCCAGGAAUUGAUCUUCUGGGACGGGUAGAUGAAUUAUUUUUUGAUACUUAUGACGGAUAUGAACCAGUCAACGAACCUUCACUUGAUAAUUGCUUCAUUUCAACUAGCUAUGGUGCUACAACUCAUUUUGAAUCAACUGUUGUGGAUGUUCUUUCUAUGUAUACCAAGAUCACCGGAAGGGUAACAUCUUUUUUGUGCUUUUCAAUCAGACUUCCCUUGACAUUCUCCUUCUUUCAUCCAUAGUAAAAAUAUCCAUGUAUCAAGUUAGGCAGUCACUCUUUAUAUUUUUAGUGUACUACCUCUGUGUAUGGCACUUUCCAACUCUCGGCAAUCUAAAAUAUAUUUACAACUUGCAUACUUGAUCAUUUUGACUUUUUCAUUCUGAGGUGAACUUCUAGGACCAAGUAGUUAAUCUAGAAUCUGGUUCCCACAUUACCAUACUUAAUGAUACCUUCUCGGGUUAUUUUGGGAUUCGACACUUAGGAGGUAUAUGGCUACUGCCUGGUUCAAGUUUUGAUUUUAUGCUGGUUAGAUCUUGUUGUUUGUGGCAUUUUACAUCUGUUUAUCCAUGUUAUAUAAGACUAUAAGUUAUGGCAAUAAUGUAUCUAGCAGACAGUAUUAUUGGCAUUUUGUAUUCAACCUCCUUUAUUAUGGCCUUAUUCCUUAUAUUCUCCUGUUAAGGACUACAUUUUUCACCAAAUUUAUUUUUCGUGAGCAAUGAUUCUUUUUUUCCCUAACAUGAUAAAUUGCUAGUAGGAUGUUUGUGGCAUGAUCCUUUUCCUUAUUAUCUGCUUCUUGUUAACUAAAAUUCUGUCACUAGAGUUUUUAUGGACUAGGCCUACAAGAACAACUCGAGCAACCCAAGCCAUUAGUAUUGGAGAGGGAGAGAGAUCAAUAUUUACCAAUCCAAUCCUGAAUCAUAGCCUCCAUCAGUAGGGAUUACUAUGGGCUUAAACCUGCUGCUUAACAUCAUUCCGUUGUUUUAAAAGGUCUCUUUGCUGACAUUUUCAGCCAAGGGAGUCUCAUUUUAAGCCUCUAUAGCCUUAUUUCAAGCUUUUACACUAUCUCCUGCACUCUUCAUUUCAUUACAAGAUCAAAGCUUGAGAAACCCUAUAAGUUUUAGUUCAAAUUGAUAAUAUCAUUUCAUUUUUGUUAGUUUGCAAUGCUACACGAUCUACUACCAGGAUGAUCCACUGCUCGAUGAGGUAAGAGGUUCACUGUAUCCAUCAAAUUUCAUUUUAUAAUGUAUUGCAAAAGUGGAUCAGAAUGUGGAAUUUUGGAUUAUCAGCAUCAUAGCUCCCUUUCCCGCCUCUACUAGGUGUAGCAACAUAUUAUGUUGCAAUAUGUAGUUUACCUAUUGAUUAGCUUCUAUCAUGUAUUGACAAUGUUGACUAAUAUCAUAUAUUGAGAGCAAUACUAUUCCUGGGUUCCAUAAAUUGAUGCUAUUGAUCUCUAGACACAGGCACUUCCUGAGGCAUCACAUAUCAUGCAUUGUAAUAUCUACCAAUAUUAUAUGCUGAAGGAGCAAUAUUCACCAUAACCGCCUCCUAAGGCACCGCAAAUUAGGUUUUGGUAUCAGUAGGGGGAGGAUGAUGCAUCUUCUACUCAACUUGUGAAUAUCGAAGUUUUUUUUCUCGGUCUCAAACUCUCAUGUAUGAUUGACCUUGUAUGCUAACUUUAGAUUUUUUAUGUUUUACAUAUGUUCUUUUCCUGGUAUGCUUAUUAAUAGGUCAUGGGUAAAUGUAAAAGGUCACAUACUUAUCCUCACCAAAACACGGUCCAAUCGUCCAACCACCAACUGGUUAAUAUCAGACGGUUGUCCGAAUCAUAGAAUGUGGGUGAUGUCAGAGUUGAUUCCAAAAACUUCAUCCAAGGUUGAAUCCAUGAGUAUUUGUUGCAAGGAUUGGUCAGAGGUCAGGCCACACUGUAGCAAUUCCUCAUAUUUACAAAUUUCUUGAUGUUCUAUACUUUUUUCUUGUAUCGAGAUUUUCUUGUAGAACUCAAUUGUAUGGUUUUUUUGGUGCAACAUCAAUUCCUGAAGUGACAAGUGCAGGGUUUUGUAUUAUGGAAAAUUAUAGAAACAUUGUACAAUGUCCUAAAUGUUCUUUUCUUUUUACAGACUGUUGAUCUCAGCAUUGAUCUAAGUGCUGCUGAAGAAUGAUGACUGCAUCCAGGGUAUAUGACAGGAAAGUUCUCAUCUCAGUAUUUUUCAUCAUAUGAUCAUAUCAAUAUAGCAUUAUAUUUGAAGCUGAAUGGAUCUGCAAUGAUGAUAUGUGCUUCUUGAAUAUAUUCUCCCUGAACAUAGCAUAACUAUUAAGUUAACAUUGUACAUUAAGAUUCAUUGUUUUUGAUGGGUUUCACUGUUGUCAAGGUUGUAUCAGAGAUGGAUUAUGCUUUAGAAGAAUGAUGUUUCUCUCCUGUGUUCGUUGCAUUCUUUGUCAGUUUGUCCACUCUUUUGUUUCAUUGGUCAAAACAAACCUGUUGCUUAAAGAGAAUCAUGCUUCAGAGUUGUGUUGGA